CGCACCUUGCACCCUUUGGUAUUCCGAAGGGUAUGCCUGUCUGAGUGUCAUUAGACCAUCUCCACCACGGUUUUCCGUGCUGGAGCUUUGGGGGUCUUGCCUUUCCGGCUCCCCUUAAAUGCCUAAGUGAUAUGAUAAGUCAACGUCACUUUAAUGAUAAACUCUUGCUCUGACCUCAGAUCAGGUAGGACUACCCGCUGAACUUAA
rnacentral:misc_RNA from 1 species